CAAGAAGUAGUUUAGUUAGAAUGUCGGCUUUGGGGGCCGAAGGUGCAAAGUUUUGUUUGCUUUCUUGAUACCGGAGGGUGCUGGUG